UACAGAGGGUGCAAGCGUUAAUCGGAGUUACUGGGCGUAAAGGGCGCGUAGGCGGUCUUGUAAGUUGGAUGUGAAAUCCCUGGGCUUAACCUAGGAACUGCAUUCAAUACUGUAAGACUAGAAUAUUGUAGAGGGUAGUGGAAUUUCCGGUGUAGCGGUGAAAUGCGUAGAGAUCGGAAGGAACACCAGUGGCGAAGGCGGCUACCUGGACAAAUAUUGACGCUGAGGCGCGAAAGCGUGGGGAGCAAACAGG
rnacentral:rRNA from 1 species